rnacentral:rRNA from 1 species
UUAGUUUAACUCUAUCUAAGAGAUUAGUAUUUCUAAAAAACCUUAUGCUUAACAUAAGUAAAUCCAUAAUUAAUUACUAUAUUACAUGCUUAAAUAUAUAUAUGUAUACUUAGCAGAAGUUGAAAUUAUAAUAAUGCGUUAAAGCGUGAAAUGGUUUAAAAACUUUUAUCGGUAUAAUUUGUGCCAGCAACAGCGGUUAAACAAUAAAUAUCUAACAACUAAAAUCUGUAAAGAUAAAAUAUAUAAGAAUUAAAGGUAAAAUUUCUUUAAUCCUUUAAGUACUAAUAUUAUCAUAAACAAACUAUAAACUAAAACAAGGAUUAGAUACCCUUCUAUUAUUAGCUUAAAAUAAGAUUGGAGACUACAAGCAAUAGCUUAAAAACCCAAGAAUUUGGCGGUGUUUUAUUCAAUCAGGGGGACCUGUACUUUAAAUCGACAACCCACGCUAAACUCUAUCUAAUUUUAAUAUUUUAGCUUGUAUACUGCCGUUUAAUAAGCUCUUUUAGGCUUUCUUAUAAUUAAUAAAAAAAUUUCAAGUCAGGUCAUAGUGCAGCUUAUAUUUAGAUAGUAUAUGGGUCACAUAUUUAAAGAAUAAAAUUAAAAUUACAAGUUAAUUUUUGUAAUAAUUAGGACUUGAUAGUAAUUAUAGAAUUAUUUAUACUAUAAUGAAUAUGAACUUAAAACAAGCACACAUCGCCCGUCACUCCUUUAUAUAGGAUAAGUCGUAACAUAGUUGAUGUAAUGGAAAUUGCAUCUGU